UGUUAGUUUGAUUUGGAAUAUGAAUUAUAUCGUGUUAGUUUGUACUAGGAAUAUGAAUCCCAAACAUUGAAGAAAUGACAUUUUCUGUUAUCCCAAUUGGUGAAAUAUGACUCACUCAAUAAAUUCUUGAUGGAGAUGUAAUUUUUUACUAGGUUUGGUUAAUUAAUAACAAAUUCUUGAUGGAGAUGUAAUUUUUUACUAGGUUUGGUUAAUUAAUAACAAAUUCUUGAUGGAGAUGUAAUUUUUUACUAGGUUUGGUUAAUUAAUAACAAAUUCUUGAUGGAGAUGUAAUUUUUUACUAGGUUUGGUUAAUUAAUAACAACCCAAACACGACCUUAAUGAGACAAACUAGGUCAUACCAGAUUCACACUUACCAUCAACUAAUUUCUUGACUUCAGUUCAACAACUACCUUCAUUCCUAUCCAUCAAAAGGCGAGUGAAACUGAAAUCAAUUUGUCUAUGUUGAUAUGCAUUUCAUUUCUUUGACUUGUGUUAUAAAGUAUAGAUUAUCUUUGACUGAGCAAUUCAAUUUUCUUGUAAUUGAUUAGAAUCCUUAUAUCUUAUUAUAAAGCUAAUGGUUUAAAUCUUAUUCCUUUUCUCAAAUUAUGACUUUUGCUAUACAAAAAUAAAGGAAAAAGUUUCGUAGCUCGAAUAAGUUGAUCAUGUUUUGCUGCUAACCCAUAAGUUAUAGUUGUUGAGAUUAUGUAGUUGGUCUAAAGUUUACUCUAAUCAACUUGAGUUUAGUCAGGAAAAAAUUAAAUGCAUUGCAUAUUAUAUAUGCAGAUUACAGACCUAUGUUUCUUCUUCUACUAAUAAUAGCAACAUAAUAGUAAAACCUAGAUUGUGUGUUUGGGAGUUUGGAGAUUUUUGGGUGUCUUCGGAGUCGGAUUGAUUUUUGGUCCUGGCUGGUUUAAUGGAUCUUUUCGUUUUCGGGACUGCCAUGUUAGGGACUCUUCUCCGGCACUGAAGGGUCCUCUGGUUUUGUCUUCGAAUUUGUGAAAGGUGAGGCAAUCUGCUGGCUGCAACAUGUGAAUUUUCUGGGCUUUCGGCGUGAAUGUGGCAGCAUCAACUAUGUUAUUGCUGGUCGAGGCUUGUAACUACAGGAUGCAAACACAGGUGAUCAUGGCAGUUUUCAGGAAGCUUUCUUGAUGCAAUUUCAAAAUCUUAUCACCCCUAUAUUAGUGAUUGGCCUGUUUCUUUCAUCAUUUUCAUUUGGUCCUCGUAAGCAACAACAGAUUAGUUUCCAAGAGUUCAAAAACAAGCUCCUGGAACCGGGUUUAGUAGACCAUGUAGUUGUUUCGAAUAAAUCAGUUGCAAAAGUGUAUGUAAGGAGCUCACCACGCAAUCAAACAAGCAAUGAUGUCGUUGAGGGACCAGUUGUCCAAGGACCUGCUGAUCCAAGCAAGAGCCAAUAUAAAUAUUAUUUCAAUAUUGGAAGUGUUGAAUCAUUUGAGGAGAAGUUGGAGGAAGCCCAGGAAGCAUUGGGGAUAGAUUCUCAUGAUUAUGUUCCUGCUACACAUACUUCUGAAAUGGUUUGGUACCAAGAGUUGGUUUGGUACCAAGAAUAUAUGUUACCUCUUCAAUUUUGUUAUGAAUUGAAUGUCGUGUUGUGAUGGAUUGUUAUUGAUUGUGAUAGACUAAUAGUAGUAGAUAGUUAUUGAUGAUGGAUUGUGCUGGAUUGUGUUGUGACUAUUAGAAAGCACAAACAGCAGGUGCUGGACUAAUGGAUUUUUGGUAUAUCAUGAUUGUUUCAAUAUGUCAGCACCUA